UGUGUGUGUGUGUGUGUACGGGUGCUAAGCUUGGAUCAUUCUCACCACAGCUCUCUGAGAUAGGAGAGUUCAAGAAAAGGCUUUAUAUAAGGUCACACAGCUCAUGAAUGGUGGAGGGAGGACUCGAACCCUGGAGCCUCCACCUCCAGAACCCAAGUUCUUAACUAUAACACUGUACAGCCAUUUAAGUCACCUGCUCCUCACCCAAGUAGUGAAGGUCAGAACUGGAGUUUCAACAGAUUCCAAAGCCAAUGGUUUUUCUCUCUCCAGGGGUUGGCAUAUUAUAACCUGUGGGCCAAAUCUGGCCUAUUGCCAGUUUUUAUAGAUAAAAUUUUCCUGGGAAACAGCCAUAUCCAUUCACUUAUGUAUUGUCUAUGCAGAACACAUGGCCAGCAAGCUUGAAAUAUUUACUCUUUGAGUCUUCACUGAAAAAGUUUGCUGAUCCCUGCUCUAUGCUGUUCAACCUAAUGGUCAUAAUACUCUCUGCUCACCAAAAGCCAAGGUGCCCUGUCACCAUGGAGCUCCCUGGGCCUUCACAUCCCUGGCAGUAUGCCUUUUGAGCCUCCUGGCUGUGGUUAGAGAAAAACCAAAUGUCAAAGACAGGAGCCCAGGCUCCCAACUCCACUGGCCAGUGGUGUGUCUGUCCUUCAUCUCACUCAGCACACAAAUGCCUGUGUUGUCUGUCCUCUCCAAUUCUCCCUAAUGUGCCUUUCCCACCGGAAUACUCUACAGGUCAGAGCCUAUUCUGAGCUCAGGGUCUGUGAAGGAGGUCUGAGGCCAGCAUCUCAUCAAGAUUUUUCCAAUUCUUCUCGAAUGGGACUAAACCAGGUUGAAAACAGAAGCUGAAAUCUUCCCAAUGGUCUCCCUGCUUACGUGGACUUCCUGAAGAGGAUGAGAUGGGCGUACUACGAGAGAAAACACCAGAAGCAAUCAUGACAAAGUCUUAGUCCGCAUCAUGUGACCAGAACCAACAGGAUUUGUCUGGGGACCUUGUCUGGAAAAUUCUUACACCAUCAAGAGACAGUUCUGGGUUGGAUUUCUACAAAAGAAGAGUUAAGGACCAUAUCCUAGGUGAAGAACAGCCCAUGGAGCCUUGUGCCUCCAUCAGCAACAAGAAGAGAAUGGCUGUAGGCUGGCUGCUGAAAGCCAACAGCACUAAACAAAUUCACUCACAUGGCCUUUGCCAACUGCAGUGGUACCUCUCUGACUUUUCUGACUUGUUCCUACUCUUUUCUGACUCUUUCCUCAACAAAUGCACAUUUCUUACUAUAAUGCCACAACGGAAGCCAGACAGACUUUGAAUUUUUACAUCUG